rnacentral:tRNA from 3 species
CGGGGACUAGUCUAAUGGUAGGGCGCGCCGUUCGGGUCGGCGAGAUUGGCGGUUCGAUUCCGCCGUCCCCGA